rfam:Parcubacteria group bacterium RIFCSPHIGHO2_02_FTLL_48_10b rifcsphigho2_02_scaffold_2858, whole genome shotgun sequence.
UCCCGGUGAUUUAGUUUGGCGUGACCCACCCGUUCUCAUUCCGAACACGGAAGUGAAAGCGUCAAACUCUGAUGAUACUCGCUGCUUCGGUGGCCGGGGAAAGUAGGAUUCGCCGGGAU